rnacentral:rRNA from 1 species
AUUGAACGCUGGCGGCAUGCCUUACACAUGCAAGUCGAACGGCAGCACGGGUGCUUGCCCCUGGUGGCGAGUGGCGAACGGGUGAGUAAUACAUCGGAACAUGUCCUGUAGUGGGGGAUAGCCCGGCGAAAGCCGGAUUAAUACCGCAUACGAUCUACGGAUGAAAGCGGGGGACCUUCGGGCCUCGCGCUAUAGGGUUGGCCGAUGGCUGAUUAGCUAGUUGGUGGGGUAAAGGCCUACCAAGGCGACGAUCAGUAGCUGGUCUGAGAGGACGACCAGCCACACUGGGACUGAGACACGGCCCAGACUCCUACGGGGGGCAGCAGUGGGGAAUUUUGGACAAUGGGCGAAAGCCUGAUCCAGCAAUGCCGCGUGUGUGAAGAAGGCCUUCGGGUUGUAAAGCACUUUUGUCCGGAAAGAAAUCCUUGGCCCUAAUACGGUCGGGGGAUGACGGUACCGGAAGAAUAAGCACCGGCUAACUACGUG